GACCAUCAAAGACGAUGUCACGUAAUAGACUUUACCAAAGGUUUUAUUUUGACCACCUCAGCCUUUAGUAGCUCGCACAAUAAUGAUCAUCAUAUACUCUUCAUCGUCUUCCUUCCUCCUCCUUCCCCUUCGUCGUCCUUCUUCACACCGGGCCCCAAUGCUGUCACAGACGUAAAAGGCUCCCCUAACAUAACCUUGGUCAGUCUCAACGGGUGCAUAUUCUACAUAAACUGAUACACUCCCCAACAAUUGAAAUACAAAGCAGGCUCUCCUGACUUAACCUUGGUCAGUCCCGAGGGGUGCAUAUUCUACAUGAACUUACCGGUCCGACACCCAUCAAAUACGUAAAAGGCUCCCCUGUGGGGAGCCUUUUGCAAAAGUGCUGCAAAAGUUUAAAUAUUUUUAUUAGUGCCCAAUGUAUAAAUAAAGCAGCUGGAAAACAAGAAGCAAGUAAAACGGUGACCUCAUGUUCGCCUUGAAAGUUACGAGCGUAAGCGUUUGUCCGGUGAGCUUUUGUCUGUGUCCAGGGAGAUACACCGUAUGAGCGGUGCAGUCCCUCGAGAAAGUUGCCUUAUUUCAGGGAAGGAAUCUGACCAAAACGCAUUGUGUCACCAAAAUAGUUGUUCUUAGGCCAAACUCCAAAGCGCGUUGUCCUCUCCUCUAGCAUUACAUGAUAACUCAUUGCUGUUAUGCUCCUACAUUUGACCCGAACGUGAAAACCGUAAACUCCGAAUUUAAAAUUAUCCCAGCAUUUUGUUCCACGUUGAUAUGUUAUCUCUCGUUGCACCACAAGGGAGAUGGUUAAUUUUUCUCCCUACACCCUUAGAAAAAUGGGUGGAUCAGUUACACCUGUUAAUGGUUGUCACUGUAUGUUGUGACUAAAAGGUUGCGAAGUUCUAUCUGCUACCUCACUCUCAAAACAGAACUUCCACGCGUAACACGUUUUCCCGCUUCUGAUUCGGUCAACCACGGGGGCGUACGCCUUUCUGUAGUGAUUUGGAUAAAUGAUGAUUUCAUUUACCACCACAUUUUACACCCUUUAUUAGACGCCAUGUUGACCACGGUGUCAACUAUAGAAGUUACCCCCUUUUCACACCCUUCUUUCUUUCUUCUCCCUGAUUUGAAUGGGGAAUGCAUCGGAAAGUAAAACAACAGGAAACGAGAAACCGCACUUAUGAGGUUACCGCAUAGCGCAUAGUUGUGCACGGCGUCGCUUCGUAUUUUACACUUUGCCAUCCUUGUUUCUUUCUACUUCUUCUCCUUGGAAUACGUAGUAAGCAACACGCGUCUUUUUUUUCUGUCUGAUAUAACAUGCUGUGUUUCAUCCUUUCUUUUUUCUUUUUUUGGUUCUAAUAAAUACAUCCCCUUGUACGUGCGUAUUCAGCGAAUCAAUGCACCACGCAACAAUUUCCACGCGCUGUAUAAUCUGAAUCCCUCUCGUCUCGUUCAUGGCCAUAACCUUGUCAUCUUGUUUACGGUUGAUGUCGAAUUUUGUUUUAUUUUUGAUAUCCCACGUGCACACGUGGCUGUGAACGCGUGCUUGCAAAGGAAAUGCAAUGUACAAGGUACAGGUAGGUUAGUUGUAGUUGUACGAGGUAGGUUAGUUUUUGUAUUUUACGUGCACAUGUGGUUGUGAACGCGUGCUUGCAAAGGAAAUGCCAUGUACAAGGCACAGGUAGGUUAGUUGUAGUUGUACAAGGUAGGUUAGUUUUUGUAUUUUACGUGCACAUGUGGUUGUGAACGCGUGCUUGCAAAGGAAAUGCCAUGUACAAGGUACUUACUGGAAAGUCAAUUCUCGUCGGGGACUUUUCAGAAAUCUCAUUGAUACAGAUAUUUAUGAAGGAAUCACGUACACCUGUAUGGAGUGUCCUAUAAAAGCCAGGCAGUUCCGAUAGUGUACAUACAUCUGAAAUAUCCUCUCUAUACAGGAAAGUUUCAACGAUCUCUUCGUGGACACAAUGACGCCUCUACGUUUCGCUGUUGUCUUCGUCCUCCUCUUUGGUGUAUUUGUCGCCAGUGAAGCUGCACCUGAAGGACACGAGCUUGAACGUCGUGACGAUGACUUCGGUGUCUGCACUUGUGUUCAGGGUAUUACAUGCCCUCAUAACAUCCCUUGCACAAAGUUUAGCGAGUGUAAGAAAUGCUUCGUUCUCGGUGGACUAAAACAUGACUGACCGGCAACCCUUAACAACGAAACGAUCAACUGCACGUAUAUGAAAUAAGAGUCCCUGGCAUUCUCUUUCACCAACAUGAUCAUGGGUGGCGGGAACUUUUGAGGGCAAUAAAUUGUACUAAGCAGCAGA